rnacentral:rRNA from 1 species
UACGUAGGGGGCAAGCGUUGUCCGGAUUUAUUGGGCGUAAAGAGCUCGUAGGCGGUUUGGUAAGUCGGCUGUGAAAUCUCCAGGCUCAACCUGGAGGGGUCAUUCGAUACUGCCAUGACUAGAGUUCGGUAGGGGAGUGUGGAAUUCCUGGUGGAGCGGUGAAAUGCGCAGAGAUCAGGAGGAACACCCGUAGCGAAGGCGGCACUCUGGGCCGAUACUGACGCUGAGGAGCGAAAGCGUGGGGAGCGAACAGG